CGGAGCACAGUGCCUGUUAACAACCUGAGCAAGAUAAGGAUAAUAGCACCCUGCAACUUCUCACCAAGAGAGAGGGCAUCUCUGAACAAGACCGCUGAAGCUGAGAGCUGGAAGGAGCUGAGUGUCUUCUAGUCUCUCCCAGGAGGGAAGAGCUGUGCUGAUGGACAAGAGGACAGGUUGGACACUGUGCUGAUGGACAAGAGGACAGGUAUGCUUCUACCAAAGAAAAAAUCAUGCUACUGUUUCCAAACACACUCUACUCAAUGACUGUCUCAUGUUCAGUAGAGCAAGAGCACCGGCAUUCAAAACUAAAAUUUCUACUCAAGAGCCAAUCCUCGUGGGAACAUAUGUGCAGAGGAGAUCAAUGAUGAAGGUGGCUGAGAGAUGCCAGGUGUCUCCAGGGCUUCCCUGGGUGGCUGUGAGCACAGCAGAUCUGCUUGCCAGUUUGUUCCACACGUGGGGGCGUGAGCACGAGCCACCAACAUGGAUUGGAGCUCUUCUCGGCUGUUUUAAGACUGUUUCAAGCUGUCCACCAUCUUCGGAAUUCCCUUUAUUCUUCCGAAGUGCCAGUUUCCUAUUAGAACCAAAAUAGAAUCAUCAUUUUCGUAUUUUCAAUGGAUUCAGAAACUAAAAAUGUUUUCUGGCAUCAAUUUCUGGGAAAAUGUACAUGCUAAUGUUUUGAAGGGAUUUGCAUAUGGGAACAACUUGCUCUCAUGAUAAAUUUUUUCUGCAUGGGCUCUGGCCUCAGGAGUCUGGCCUCAAAUCUCAAUUCUGAAAAUAGGUAUGGUAACGAUAUAACAAUAAUCAUAAUAAUUAUCCCAUAUAGUUGUUUCCAGGGCUAAAUAAAAUAGUCUAUGUGAGUUGCUUGGUGCAACACCUGAUUCAUAGAAGCCCUCUAAAAAUAAGGAGCGGAAGGGAUGGAACGGAGGUUAGAA
rnacentral:lncRNA from 1 species